GUUCAGUGCAUCAGUGGGAAGUGAGUGACUGGAGGUUUAUCUAUCACUGUGAAGGAGACCGACAUGUGCGCAUGUUAGCGCUGCAUUCGCUCUGGCUGUCACACCAAGUGGUGUGACCAGGACCUUGGGAGUUGAGGUCUCCUGUCCCGGAGGCUGGGUUGUCCAAGCUCAAGGACCCAGGCUCUCUGUAUGCAGUCCAGGCUGGCUGUGAACUCACUGUGGAGCUCAGGGUUAAAACCAGUUCUCCACUGCUCGUCCUCCUCACAGUUCUGCUGAGGUUUAACAGACCCAGUCCUCCAAGCAGAAUGUCUGACCCCCUGACAUGAAAUGUUGGUCCAUGACACUUUUUGAGAUCCUAGCCGCUUAGCCAAACCUGGGCAUUGUCAUGCUCUGAGAAAUAAACUGGACACUGGACAGAGGUCUGGCUUGUUCCUGGGGACAGGAAGUAGACGGGCGGGAGGUCUCCCCCACCUUGGGGUCGCAGAAUGGGGGAAUUCACGUGGGACUGGUGUGUGGUUUCAUUCUCGACAGCCCUGAUUUUAAAACACUUUUAAUUUUGAAUAGACUCAUAGACGCACAGGAAGUUGCAAAAGUUUUGUACUCUGAG
rnacentral:lncRNA from 1 species